rnacentral:rRNA from 1 species
UACGUAGGGGGCAAGCGUUGUCCGGAUUUAUUGGGCGUUAAAGCGCUCGCAGGUGGUCCGCUGCGUCGUGCGUGAAAGACCCCGGCUCAACUGGGGAGUGUCGUGCGAUACGGGCGGACUGGAGGCCAGUAGGGGGAGUGCGGAAUUCCGGGUGUAGUGGUGGAAUGCGUAGAGAUCCGGAGGAACACCAGCGGCGAAGGCGGACAUCCGUGGACUGGUCCUGACACUCAGGAG